UACGUAGGGGGCCAGCGUUGCUCGGAAUUACUGGGCGUAAAGGGUCCGUAGGCGGUGUGGCAAGUCGGGAGUGAAAUCUCUGGGCUUAACCCAGAGGCUGCUUCCGAAACUGCCGUGCUAGAGUGUGAGAGAGGCGAGUGGAAUUGCGGGUGUAGCGGUGAAAUGCGUAGAUAUCCGCAGGAACAUCCGAGGCGAAAGCGGCUCGCUGGAUCACAACUGACGCUGAGGGACGAAAGCUAGGGGAGCAAACAGG
rnacentral:rRNA from 1 species